rnacentral:rRNA from 2 species
UGCGGAGGGAUCAUUACACAAAUAUGAAGGCGGGCUGGAACCUCUCGGGGUUACAGCCUUGCUGAAUUAUUCACCCUUGUCUUUUGCGUACUUCUUGUUUCCUUGGUGGGUUCGCCCACCACUAGGACAAACAUAAACCUUUUGUAAUUGCAAUCAGCGUCAGUAACAAAUUAAUAAUUACAACUUUCAACAACGGAUCUCUUGGUUCUGGCAUCGAUGAAGAACGCAGCGAAAUGCGAUAAGUAGUGUGAAUUGCAGAAUUCAGUGAAUCAUCGAAUCUUUGAACGCACAUUGCGCCCUUUGGUAUUCCAAAGGGCAUGCCUGUUCGAGCGUCAUUUGUACCCUCAAGCUUUGCUUGGUGUUGGGCGUCUUGUCUCUAGCUUUGCUGGAGACUCGCCUUAAAGUAAUUGGCAGCCGGCCUACUGGUUUCGGAGCGCAGCACAAGUCGCACUCUCUAUCAGCAAAGGUCUAGCAUCCAUUAAGCCUUUUUUUCAACUUUUGACCUCGGAUCAGGUAGGGAUACCCGCUGAACUUAAGCAUAUCAAUA